rnacentral:rRNA from 1 species
UACGUAGGGUGCAAGCGUUAUCCGGAAUUAUUGGGCGUAAAGAGCUCGUAGGCGGUUUGUCGCGUCUGCUGUGAAAACUGGAGGCUCAACCUCCAGCCUGCAGUGGGUACGGGCAGACUAGAGUGCGGUAGGGGAGAUUGGAAUCCCUGGUGUAGCGGUGGAAUGCGCAGAUAUCAGGAGGAACACCGAUGGCGAAGGCAGAUCUCUGGGCCGUAACUGACGCUGAGGAGCGAAAGCAUGGGGAGCGAACAGG